CUUGAAAGCAUGAAAGGCAAAAUCGAUCUUUGCAUUACAAUAAUAAUAACAGCAACAACAACAAUAGUAAUGGCGUCAAUGUUUGGCACCAUGCCAACAAUUUGGGUAACUCAAUUACAUUCACCCCAGUGUUCUAUUGGUACAUGUUUUAUCAUCCCUGUAGGUUGAAAGGCGAUUCGAUCUCGCGGAUUUGGACUCACAAGGUAAGGACCCGGAAUAUAUACCUAUACAUUAUUUUGAAGCUUAAAGUUUCUAGUAUACCUAUUUCUAUUUCCUUAUUACCCACAAGGGGCUAAACACAACGGGGACAAACAAGGACAGACAUAGGUAUUAAGUCGAUUACAUCGACCCCAGUGCGUAACUGGUACUUAAUUUAUCGACCCCGAAAGGAUGAAAGGCAAAGUCGACCUCGGCGGAAUUCGAACUCACAACGUAACGCAGACGAAAUACCGCUAAGCAUUUCGCCCGGCGUGCUAACGUUUCUGCCAGUUCACCGCCUUAAGUUUCUAGUAUACCGACCUCGUUUUCCUAAUAAUGAACAUUUUUUUCUAAAAUUGGCACAAAGCCUAAUGUUUUGUGGGGAGUGAGCAAGGCGAUUGCAUCGACCCUGGCAAUUGAAGUCUACUCUAUUUCAUCAAUCACGAAAGGUGAUUGAUGCGAGAGCAUGAAGAAUUGUUAAGCACUUUGUUCGAAGCGCAAACGAUAUUAUCAUCUUGUGACCUUCUUAAUAAUAUCUAUUUUUUUCUACUUUUGGUACAAGGUCAGCACUCUUGAGGGGAGGGUAGAAUCAGUUCCAUCAACCCCAGUACUCAACUGGUACUUUAUUUUAUGAAAUCUGUGCGCAUGAAAAUCAAAGUCGACCUCGGUAGAAUUGAAAGUAAGAAUGUAAAGAGCCUUUGAUAAUCUUGCCAGUACGUUGUUUUAGGUAAUAGUGAUACUUAUAAUUUUGGAUUUUGAAGGUAUACAAUUUUGAUGAAAAGGGGUAUGUCGAUUACUUUCACUUCAAUAUUUGACUGGUACUUUAUUUUACCGUUCCACCUUGACGAAAGCUGAAUUCAAAACGAAGAAAUGACCCCCAACAUUUUGUCUGGCUCGCUAACGAUUGUGUCACCUUAUUAAUGAUUUUAAUUAUUUCUAAUUUUGGCACAAAGCUAGCGAGACACAGAGGUGAGUGAAAGUCAAUUACACAUGACUGGUACCCUAGUAAAGUGUACUGAUUCUUAACUGAUAUUCCAUGUUCUCGACCCCGAGAGAAUGAGAGGCAAACACAACAUCGACUGAAAUUAAACUCUGAAUGUAAAGAACCAGAAGAAAUGAAGUUAAGCAUUUUAUUCGACGUGCUAAUGAAUCUACCCGCUCGCUGCUUUAUAACAAUGGUUUCAAAUUUGGCACAAGGCCAGUAAUUUUACGAGAAGUGGGUUAGUUGAUGAAGCAGACACCAACGCUUAACUGGUACUUAUUUUAUCGAUCCAUAAGUGAUGAAGGCAAAAUGAAUUUCGCUGGCAUUUGAACUCAGAACUUAAAGCGUUUUGCUCGGGGUGCUAACACUUCUGCCAUCUCACCGUCUUCGACGCUUUUUAAGGGUAUUACUAUUCAUUAACAAUGCGAAUUUUGCCUUGAUAAGAAAUAAAACUAUGAAUUUGUUUAAUUUUCUAAAUAUACACGUCAAAAUUCCUUCAGAGAAGCUUAUACUUAAAUAAAAAGAAAACAUACAAUUUUCCAAUAAUGUCGCGGGUUUAAACAACAAAAACAUUUCUUUCUACUGUAGACACAAUACUCAAACUUUUGAGGGAAGGGGCCAGUCGAUUACAUCGACAACAGAGGAGGAUUGGUGCUUAUCGACCUCGAAAGGAAAAAAAAACAUUAUUGCCAUCUGUGGAAUUUGAACUCAGAACGUAUAACCUGAAAGAAUAUAGAUAUGUACCUUCUCUGACGUGCAAAAGACUGAUAACUCACAGAUUUACUACUACAGCACAAAUAAUGACUGAAUUUUGAGAGGAGUGUGAAUUCCAUUACAUCGACCUCAAUGUUGAACAGGUAUUUUAUACAUUGAUCCCGUAAACAUAAGACGCAAAAUCGAUCUCGCUGCAACAGGCACUCAAGCGAGUAUAUAUACUGGCACACAGAGGCACACUCACAUUCGUAUUCCCGUUCUUGUACGUAUAAUCGCACAAACGUUCAUCACAUAUACAUAAAUACAUAUCUGUUUCAAACUUUGGCAUAAGCCAGCAAUGUUGGGAAGUGGGUAAGACAAUUCAAUCGAUAGUUUCUCGACCCUGAAAGGAUGAAAGACAAAGUCGACCACGGCGGAAUUCGAACUCUCAACGUUAAGACGGACGAAAUGCCACUAAGCAAUUUUGCCCUUUGUGCAAACGACUCUGCCAGUAUAUCGCAUUUAUAAAUACAGACAUUAAUAUGUAAUCAAGCUACUAUAUAUACAAUCACAAAAUUAAACGCACACACACACGCAAAAACACACAGAUACACACUAGCAAUCACACACGUUACGCACACAUUUAUGUAUCUGCAUACAUAUAUGUAUGUAUGUAUGUAUUUAUGUAUAUAUGUACGUGUGUAUGUAUGUAUGUAUGUGUUCUUUUUUUCCCAUUUUUUGUUCUUUUUUUCCCAAGUUUUUGUUCUUUUUUUUCCCUUUUACGAUCCCUUUUGAUCGAAAACCUCCGCCAACUUUUUUUUGUUUCUUUUGUUUUUUGUUUUUUUCAUCCCUUAAAAGAAAAGCUCUACCUUGUAACUUGUCCCAUCAGUGUGCAGCCCUGUGUGGCCAAUAAAGAACCUUAUCGAUCUAUCUAUCUAUCUAUCUAUCUAUCUAUCUAUCUAUCUAUCUAUCUAUCUAUCUAUCUAUCUAUCUGUGUAUCAGUCCGUCAAUCUAUCUGCCUGUCUAUAUAAGUGUGUGGGUGAAUCUUUUACCGGCGAAUUGGUAAAAGAUUGGUAUGGAAUAAGUACUAGACAUGAAAAAAAUAAAUAAUUGGGUGGUUUCUGAUAACUGAAACAACUAAAAAGGUAAAAAAGACGACAAAAGGAAAAUGUUUAUCUAUGUAUAUUUGUGUGCGUUUCUGCGUGUUUGUGUGUGUGUGUACACACACACACCACGCGCGCGCACACACACACAUGCACAUACAUAUACGCAUAAGUAUAUAUAAAUAUGCCUAUAUGUAUAUAUAUAUAUAUAUAUAUAUAUAUAUAUAUAUAUAUAUAUAUAUAUAUAUAUAUAUAUAUAUAUAUAUAUAUAUAUACAUAUAUAUCUACAUACAUAUGUGCAUACAUACACGUACGCAUGGAUUUGUACACGCACACAAACAUAUAUAUAUGUAUACAUAUAUAUAUAUAUAUAUAUAUAUAUAUAUAUAUAUAUAUAUAUAUAUCGAAAGUGUGUGUAUGUGUAUUAUCAUUUAACGUCUUAAAUAGAUAGAUAGAUAGAUAGAUAGACAUAUGAUUGUUAAAACUUUUAGUGUAGUACAUAUUUUAAAAACUUUAUUAAAGUUUUGAUACGCACACACAUACACACUCGCAUAUAUGCAUAUGCAUGUAUUUAUAUGUACACACACACACAGACACACACAUAUAUAUAUAUAUAUAUAUAUGAGAGAAGGUUUGAAAAUGCAAUUUUAAAACAUGUUAUACAACUUUUAGAAUUGCAUUUUCAAACCUUCUCUCAUAUAUAACUCCGCUCGUGCGGUACCUUACAACUCCACUUUGUUAUAUAUAAAAAUUUUAUGUAUGUAUCCAUGGGUGUGUCUUUAUAUAUACAUAUAUGAAUAUGUAUAUAUGCACAUGUUUGAACACACACAUACCUACUCAUAUAUAGCUGCCUGAAUGUGUCUAUGUAAGAGUACCUGUAAAUAUGUAAAUACCUAUGUGUAUAUAUGCAUGUAUGUAUGCACGUAUGUAUGUAUGUAUGUAUGUAUGUAUGUAUGUAUGUAUGUAUGUAUGUAUGUGUGUGUAUAUAUGUACCUAUCUAUCUGUUUGCCUAUCUAUCUAUCUAGCAAUCCAGCUAUCUGUCUAUGUAGGUAUCUCUCUCUCUAUAUAUUUGUAUGUUAGUGCGUGUAAACAUAUACAUAUAUAGUUAUAUAUAUAUAUAUAUAUAUAUAUAUAUACAUGUAUGCAUGCGUGCACGAAUGUAGGAAUUCAAGGUACGCAGAAGUGACGCAGCUAUAUAAUUUACGGAUACGAUAGUAAGUUACGUAUGAUUGUUUGUAUGUGUACAUAUGUGCGUGUGGGGAUAUAUAUAUACAUGCACAUAUAUUUAUACACAAGCACACGCACACGCAUGGAUAUAUAUUUAUACAUGCAUAUAUAUAUAUAUAUAUAUAUGCUCACACACACACACUCACAGACACACAUAUAAUUUGGUAUAUUUUGCGAAUAAACACAUGCACCAUUAUUUUAUGUUCUCUUUAACUUUAUGUUUAUUGCAAAUCCAUUUGUCACAAAUGAAUAAUUAAUAAUGAAUAAUUAAUAAUAAAUGAAAAGUGAACAUGAAAUAAAUACCGCGAGUCUUUAUUGUCAAAAUAUAAUGACCAUCCCCAAAUAUAACCAUAUGUGAGACGAUUUCAUAGCAAGAACUUUGCGAAAGAACAUUUAAACUUAUUUUUUGAUAUACAAGUAUUUACCUAGGUAACACACACACACAUAUAUAUACAUACACACACAUAUAUAUAUAUAUAUAUAUAUAUUCAUAUAUAUGUAUAUAUAUAUAUUUGUGUCUGUAUACACAUACAUAUAUAUAUAUAUAAAUAUACAUACAUAUAUAUAUAUAUAUAUAUAUAUAUAUAUAUAUAUAUAUAUAUAUAUAUAUAUAUAUAUAUAUAUAUAUAUAUAUAUAUAUAUAUAUAUAUAUAUAUAUAUAUAUAUAUAUACGUGCAGGUAAACAUAUAUAUAUAUAUAUAUAUAUAUAUAUAUAUGUUUACCUGCACGUAUGCAUAAAAUUCGCUCGGAAAUAUAUAUCGAAAGAAAUCUUACCACCUCUUUGCAGUAUUAACUCAGAUAUUCAUACUGUAUAGCAACAGGCAUUUAAAAAUAUAUAUAACACAUAUUUUCUUUUUGUCGCGCAUACUUCUGUUGGUACAAAUAUACCUAUAAAUGUAUCAUUGUACCUCUUACAGUCGUUUAUAUAUUCGAUGAACGAUACUUUUUGGGAAUCUUCUUUUGCAUGCAUCUGGUAAACAUAAAUGUAUACGGAUAUUUACAACGAACCCAUUAUUAUAACAUACAUAUGAGGUCCGUCCAGAAACCUUUGAUCUUCCAGUCUAUUUGAAAGGACGCGUGGAAAUAUAUUCAGCAACAUGCAUCUGCAUGCUCAAAGAACAUACGUUUUUCUCAAUUUUAAUUUCUUUUUUUUUCAAGUAAAACUCGGUAAGUUCCUCAAAAUUUGUUAAAUAAUAUGUAAUAAUAAGACUUACCUGUAAUACGUACAAAAUCCUCAACGUCUACUAUAGAUGUAAAAUUUAUGGUAAGAUUAUCAUCAUCUAUACUCCCAUGCUUCGCAGUCACUCACACACACACUCUGUCUCCACAUAACUUUCUCACUACUAGAUUUCUCUCCAUCUAUGUCUCUGUUUCUCUCCAUCUCCCUCUAUAACUUAUUUGUGUGCAUAUAUGUGUGUAUGUGUAUCUAUAUGCAAAAAUUCUCUUUAUGUAUGUACAUAUAUAUAUAUAUAUAUAUAUAUGUAUAUAUAUAUAUAUAUAUAUAUAUAUAUAUAUAUAUAUAUAUAUAUAUGUAUAUAUAUAUAUAUGUGUAUAAAUGUAUAUAUAUAUAUAUAUAUAUAUAUAUAUAUAUAUAUGUAUAUGUGUAUGUACGUAUAUAUAUAUAUAUAUAUAUAUAUAUAUACUACUAAGAAUUACUGUAUAUCAAAUGCGAAUUACUUUCACUAUCGCCUCUCUUUCUCUCUCCUUAAAAUGUUUCCAUUUGUUAACACACAAUCUUUGUUUCUUUCUCUCUCCCGCACUCUCUUCCUCUCUCUCGCGCGCGCUCUCUUCCUCUCUCUCUUCCCCUCUCUUUCUCACUCUGUCUAAUAAUAAUCAAUAUCACUCUCUGUCUCUAUCUCAACGCACAGUACCACACAUACAUAUAUGGACAUAUAAAUACAUUUAUAGACACACUCUCCUCCACGUUAUGAUAACAUUUCCUCCUCUCUCCGCUUCACUUCUCAUUGUUCUCUCCUUUCACUGUUCAUUCUGUCUUUCUCUAUUUCUUUCUCAUACAGAAGGAUCCCCUUCCAUCCACAUUGGGUCCCUCUCUCUUCCGCCCCAAUUUCUCUCAGACACCACAAUCUUAUCGCCUUCCCUUCUCACAUUUUCACACUCUCUCAUAUAUAUACACCUGUGUGAUUCCCUUGUACAUGUUACAUUUAAUAUUAUCAUUCUACCUGCUUCUUCAAGUUUUAGUUUCAACUUUAUUACACGAUGUGUUGGAAACAACCUCAUAUAAAUAAACCAAAGGAAUUUCUAACAUACUAACGCACUAACAUACAAAUAUAUAGAGAGAGAUAGAUACCUACAUAGACAGAUAGCUGGAUUGCUAGAUAGAUAGAUAGGCAAACAGAUAGAUAGGUACAUAUAUACACACAGUUGACCUAAAAUUUUGCCUACGAAAUUUACCUCAAAAUGCAGCUUAUCGUUUUUCUUUCAAAUAAAAAGAUAUUUUAAUGGUUCUCGCUUGUAGACAGACGAGACACACCACCACACACACGCGUACACAUCAGAGUGUACACAUACCUAUUCGUACACACGCAUACAUAUAAGAGAAGAUAUCUGUAGACAUUUGUUACCUUGGUCUACCAUUUCUUUCACAAAUGUCAACAAGACUAUUGCUCCUGGAGGGAUGUUAUUAAAUGGGUGAGUGUAAGCGUUUGUAACGAUAUAUAUAUAUAUAUAGACACAUGCAUAGAUAUACAUACAUAUAUUUAUACCCAAAAUUCUUUUCCUAAUAUUUACAUAAUAAUUUACAUAUUAUAUUGUAUUUUUGUAUAUCCUUUCUACUAUGGGCACAAGGCCUGAAAUUUGGAGGGGGGGUAUAGUCGAUUACACCGAUCCCAGUACUUAACUGGUACUUAUUUAAUCGACCCCGAAAGGAUGAAAAGAAAAGUCUACCUGGGCGGAAUUUUAACUCAGAACGUAGCGGCAGAUGAAAUACCUAUUUCUUUACUACCCACAAGGGCCUAAACACAGAAGGGACAAACAAGGACAGACAAACGGAUUAAGUCGAUUAUAUCGACACCAGUGCGUAACUGGUACUUAUUUAAUCAACCCCGAAAGGAUGAAAGGCAAUUUCGACCUCGGCGGAAUUUGAACUCAGAACGUAGCAGCAGACGAAAUACCACAAAGGAUUUCGCCCGGCGUGCUAAAGUUUAUGCCAGCUCGCCACCGUAUUUAUGUAUAUAUGUACACGUUUAUAUACCACAGGCAUAUACGCGUAAACGAUUUUUGUACAAACAUGCAUAUAGUUGAAUACCCACUCACAUAUAUAUAUAUAUAUAUAUAUAUAUAUAUAUAUAUAUAUAUAUACAUAUAUGUGUGUGUGUGUGUGUGUGUGUGUGUGUGUGUGUGAAUACUAUUUUCUCUCUUUAGUCUCACUUAUUUCAGUCAUUUGACUGUGGCCAUGCCGGAGCACUGCCUUUAGUCGAGCAAAGCGACCCCAGGACUUAUUCUUUGUAAGCCUAGUACUUAUUCUAUCGAUCUCUUUUGCCGAACCGGUAGGUUACGGGAACGUAAACACACCAGCAUCGGUUGUCAAGCGAUGUUGGGGUGGGGGAACAAAAACAGACACAUAUGCAGUAAUGAUCAAAAUUUAAUGAGCAUGUAAUAUGAUUCCACUAAAACCGAGGUCAAACUCCCCUUCAUUCUAUUUUCCCGCCAUCUAUCCUGCUUUCUUUAUCCUCAGUACUUCUUUUACUCAAUCCCCUACUGUGUAGGGAAAUGAGUAACACGCUUACUCCAAUCUCUCGUUGACUGACAUGGCUCAGGUAUUCCAGGGCAGCUGUUCUAAACUAUUGCUCUUUACAUUUACAUAUGCUGGGAUUACACAUGGUUGUUAAAGUAGGUAUCCUCGAAGAAAUGUACUCUUGUAUUGAAACACUUUAUUGAAACACUUUAUAUAAAUAACCUUUUAUUAUGUAUUUCUUUACUACUCACAAGGGGCUAAACAUAGAGGGGACAAACAAUGACAGACAAACGGAAUAAGUCGAUUACAUCGACCCCAGUGCGAAACUGGUACUUUAUUUAUCGACCCCGAAAGGCAAAGACGACCUUGGCGGAAUUUGAACUCAGAACGUAACGACAAACGAAAUAGCGCUAAGCAUUUCACCCGGCGCGCUAACGUUUCUGCCAGCUCGCCGCCAAUAAAAUUUUAUUAUAUGAGCACUUCUCGAUGUAGUUUUCUAAAGUGCAUAGAAGAAUGCAUACAUGCAGAUAUACCGGCAGACAUACAUGCGUGUACAUGCGCACAUAUAUACAUAUAUGUGUGUGUGCGUCUGUGCGCGUGUUUGCGUAUGUGUAUGCAUGCAAUACACGCGCAUAUAUAAUCGGCAGAAAAAAUGUAUACUCAAGUAUUGUAUCCUAUUUCUCUCGCCUGUUCAAUGAAGAUUAUAUGCAUGUAUUCAUAUGUAUAUAUAUGUAUUUAUGAAUAACUGUAUAUGUGUAUAUAUAUCAGUGUGUGCAUCUGUGUAUGUGUAUGUGUGAGUGUAUAUAUAUAUAUAUAUAUAUAUAUAUAUAUAUAUAUAUAUUUACACUUCAUCGCGCAAAAGAAAUAACCACACAUAUAUACUCAGUAAUAUUCAAACAUUUUUACCGAUGUUUUCUGAUAUCUUUAUAUUACCAAAUUUAUUCAUUUUAAGAACGUAUGUAAUUUCGAACAAGUUUAUAUUUCCACCAUUACGUAAGUCCUAUAAAUCGUAAUUUCAAUCACCAUCAUAAGUUUUGUGCAAAUUCUAUAGAAAGUGUUGUAAAUCAAAGAACAGUCGACUCGAAGCACCUAUUCAGCGAUAUUCAUAAUCUAAAUUAAUUGCUGCAGUUAUUGUAAUGUAAUUGUGAAUUCCAGUUUUUCCACAUCUCUUGUCUUCAUUUAUUUACGUAAUGUAUAAGAAUGUCGUGAAAAUACCGGCAUACAAAAUAAAUCGUUUGGUCAUAAGUGUUUAUGAAUUUGGUGAGCGAUUUGUUUUCGUUAUAUACCAUAGCAAAUCGUUAUAUACCAUAGAUAAAUCGGGGUUUAUAUCUUAAUUGUAAGUACUGACACUAUUAAAUCUUAUAUAUGUGUUUAUAUAUAUAUAUAUAUAUAUAUAUAUAUCGCUGCUUGGUUGUGCCAUUUAUUUACUUUUAUAUAUAUAUAUAUAUAUGUGUGUGUGUGUGUGUGUGUGUGUGUGUGUGUGUGUGUGUGUGUGUGUGUGUGUGUGUGUGUGUGUCUGUGUGUGUGUGCAUAUAUAUAACGUUUAAUAGUUUCUGUAGUAUAUAUAUAUAUAUACAGAGAGAGAGAGAGAGAGAGAGAGAGAGAGAGAGAGAGAGAGAGAGAACGAGAUUAAAUUCAAAGUCGAUGUCUAAUUAACGAUUAACUCUGCAGUGAUUGACGAAUGCUCACAUCUAAAUGCAUAAUUAUACCAACGCAUAGAACCACACACGCAAUCAGAAGCGUAUGCAACACGUGUGCGUGAGUGCGUUUAUGGGUGUGCGUUGCAAAAAUUCAUAUCAAGUAUGAUAUAUUUACACCAGUAUGCACGUAUUCUGCGAUGCGUAAACUCAUGAAGAAUUGUGCUGAUGCUAUUCAUAAUAAAGAAGAUAGUUAUGAGGAUUUAUCCUAAUGUAUCAAUACAAGUGCUUCUAGAAAGGCAUAUACAAUGAAAAGCAGAAUUUUACACAGAUAUACUCCACACAGAUAUACAUACACUUGCACACACUUGCACAUAUAUACAUGAAUACACACAUUAAAGACAGAGAGAAAGAGAGGAGUAAAAGCGAUGCAAAUAGGUAUAGGGAUGUACGCAUAUACAUACAU
rnacentral:lncRNA from 1 species